UACGGGGGGGGCAAGCGUUGUUCGGAAUUACUGGGCGUAAAGGGCGCGUAGGCGGCCACCGCAAGUCGACUGUGAAAUCUCCGGGCUUAACCCGGAAAGGUCAGCCGAUACUGCGGGGCUAGAGUGCAGAAGGGGCAACUGGAAUUCUCGGUGUAGCGGUGAAAUGCGUAGAUAUCGAGAGGAACACCUGCGGCGAAGGCGGGUUGCUGGGCUGACACUGACGCUGAGGCGCGAAAGCUAGGGGAGCGAACGGG
rnacentral:rRNA from 1 species